UUCUGUGACAUCAGUAACCAGAUGGGGUUGAGAACUGAAAGACCCCCGGAGUGGGGAGACCCUCACUCAAGUCUCGGGAUGACGCGACCCCCCAAGAACUCACACAAGACC
rnacentral:pre_miRNA from 14 species